rnacentral:rRNA from 1 species
CAAUAGCGUAUAUUUAAGUUGUUGCAGUUAAAAAGCUCGUAGUUGGAUUUCGGGUGGGACGCAGCGGUCUCGCAUUGCGUUUGUACUGCUUCAGCCCUCCUUCUUGCCGGGGGCGGCCUCUCGGACUUCACUGUCUGGGGGUCAGAAUCGGCGAUGUUACUUUGAGUAAAUUAGAGUGUUCAAAGCAAGCUUACGCUCUGAAUAUAAUAGCAUGGGAUAACACGACAGGACUCUGGCCUAUCGUGUUGGUCUAUAGGACCAGAGUAAUGAUUAAGAGGGACAGUCGGGGGCAUUCGUAUUCCGUUGUCAGAGGUGAAAUUCUUGGAUUUACGGAAGACGAACAUCUGCGAAAGCAUUUGCCAAGGAUGUUUUCAUUGA